GCAAACGUCUGAUAUUUGAGGGAGGUAGUUCUGAUCUUCUGUCCUACCUUUGUUGCUUUCAGGCACUUUUCCUGUCCUCCUGACAGAGCUGGUGGUGGGCGUUUUCCUGCAGGUCCUGGGCCUGCCCUUUGUGGCGGUCUCCCAGGUGUCCCUUUUUUCUAAAGUCACAGCGGAGAGAACACAAGGGUUCAGCCAGGGUCUUCGGCGCUCCGUUGGGGGAAUCGCAACCAUCCUUGGGCCUCUGUGGGCUGGGGGCCUGACCACAAACCUUUACAUCAUGUUGGGAGUGAUGAUGGGGCUGUUGACUCUCCUGAUGAUUAUGGUGGGGCUCUCCUAUACAUACCUUAUAGAACCACCCAGGCGGGACCUUUCACCAAGAACUUCCCAGGAAGAAUGCCGCUCAUGAAAGACCGCAGGGUUGGUUUUUUAGAGAUGGAUUUGAAGAAAUGGGAAAGUGCGCAGUCCACCAGGUGUCCUUCUGAUUGGUGCUGUGGCCCUCCCCUGACUGGAUCCCCACUUCCACGUUGCUGAUCUCUCACUGGGAAGAGACCCAGGGAAGCACUUGUAUCCAUCCAGAGAGCAACACCCAACGGGUAUAGGACUACCGUGUUCUGGCGCCUUCCGGCUUGAUUUGCACAUUGUCCCCCUGACACGGAUGUCUCAGACUUGGCUCAGCACUGCCCCCUGUGGGUGGGGUAUGCCAUUUCCUGUCACACCUUUAAUAGCACUUUAUUAUUUUUGCCCGGUGGGACCCCCACAAGGCACUUUUCUUUAAAUGGUGGAAAGAACUAGGGUGGGGAUUGUAGAAACUUUUCGUCUGUGAAGGACCUUUUGAAUUUUGGUCUACUUCAGCUUUUUCCCAACCUGCUGCCGUUUGAAUAUUUUGGAUUUCAGCCUCCAGCCUGAAUGCUCAUGGUGAUCGGACUUCAUCCAGUCUAUCUGGAGGUUUGUGGCUUGGGCAAGACUGCCGCCCCGGUUCCUAAGACUGUAAGAGCUUUUCUUUCUUUCUCUCCUGUUCUCAGUGCUCCCUGAACCUGGGAGCAGUGGGGCCUGAUCCUAGCCCUCCUGAGGUUGCAGUCUGAACCUCUGGUCUCCCCCCCAGAAGGCCACCUGUCCUUAGCUUUGAUGCCGUCAUCUGGAGCUUCUUCCAGCGAUUGUAUGGGUUUUUCUCCAUCUUGUAAGUUUGAAAUAUCUCUCGAAAGAUUUAUUUACCGGCAGGAAGAGUCUCCGGCUAAAAUAACCCUCCUUGUGACAUUGCCAAAUGUGGUGCGUGAGAACUUGUCUGCAAUUGAAUUCAGCUGAAAGAGGUUCUCCAUCGCUUGACCUUCAACCUGGGCUUGUCAUCAUGGUUGCAACCUCAGAGAGCCACUGUGAUUGUGGAUAAUUUAGCUUCCCUUUCUCUCUCCUCCUCAGUUUUCUGUGUGUUUCCAUUGGAAGCUGGGAGAGAUCACAAUCUUGAGAACCAGUGCGGAGUCUGAUUCAAGAACCUCUGCUACCCAAAGUCCCUGUUUGCAGCAUCCUAUGGGACGACAACGCUCAGCUAGCUGUCUCUGAGAAAGUCGCAGGCAGGGCACCUAUCAAAGAUCAUGACUGGCUUUGAGCAGUUGAACGUUGAGGACAGCUUCUGGAUAGCUGCUAAUCAUCCUAUAUUCCACACCUUUAGAGCAGCCUUCCCCAUCCCAGUCUUGUCGGUUGGGGGGAUAGCUGGAGGAUAGCGAGUUGAGGAAGGCUGUCUUAGGGAGUAGCUACAAGCAGGAUGAUAAUAAUCCUUUGGUAGGAUGCUUUGGGAGGUAGAUGGGCAAUCUUUAGGAAGGUGAGGAUGUGCAUAACAUUCCCUAGGCCCUGGUAUCUGCUCAAUAUUUUUUCACAGUUUUUUUUUUCAAGCUGGAAAAGUGCCAUGGUGUCCUCUAGGGGCCAAAAGAUAAGAAAAAUAAGUGGGGUGGACAAAGUCUCCAUGCCCUCUGGAUGACACAAGGGAGAGUAAAGCCACUGGAGUGGAGCCUGUGGGGAAGGCUGCCUUUGUAACCUGUUUCCUCCUAAAGGCUUAUCCGAUUUGAUGAGUAGAUCAGCUGUCAGGGAGGGGGAGAAAGGAGCUGCCUCAGCACACAGAAAUCUAAGACUUCCUCCGCCUGUUUGUGUUAUAAUAUUACUACAACAGGUAAACUCCCAUUUCCAGAGAGGUUGGGAGCGGGCACCACCAUGUCACAAAAGUGUGCAUGGGAUCACACACUUCAGCACUGAAUAUCUAGCACAUACAAUCCACAUUUACACUUUUACGUGUGCGAGCACAGGGUGUCCCCACUGCUGCCGCCAUGGCCUCUUUACUUGUCUUGUCAUGGUUAGGAGGUGGGACUCCCUUCCGUGCCUGAGAUCUACCUGCGGAAGCCUUUGGGUGCAAGUUUCCUUCACCCGAGAGUGAUACGAGGAUGCUCAUGGAGGACUCCUGUACAGUACAUACCCGUUAUAUUUUUUUAUUAAGUACAUUUAGAUCUCACCCUUCCUCCUGUGGGCUCCCCUUGGUAUAUACACGGUUCUCGUCUUCCUCCACUUCAUCUGCACAACAACCUUGUGAAGUAGGUUUUGCUGAGAAAGAGUGACUUGGCACGUGCUUCCAGACAGAGAGUUCUUAGCUCUACCAGUUAUUCUCUAUUGGGCCCAUCUUUGUGUUUUUUUCCCCCCAGUAGAUUUUCUCUGUAAGAAAAAGGAUAGAAGGAGGGGGUGGCAAAACAUUGGCGGGUUAGAAUCUUGAGGACGAUAAAAGUUGGUGGCCAAGAAACGGUGGUUGCGCAAUAGAAGCCUCAUCAAGACACGCCCUGCGUCUUUCCUUGUGGAUGUUGUUAAACUGGAAUGGACAUCAUUCUUUACCCUUGGUUGUCUUAGCUGAGGCUGCUGGCAGCUGCCCUCCGGCCGUUGAUGGAGGGCCACUCUUUGCCCUCCCUUGUUCCUUGGGCUCAUUUCUGGUUUAUGUGCUACGGUGGACAAUUUGAGACUCUGCUACACGGUAACUCCUCGUAGCUCUUACCAACGCAGCAAAAUAGUGAAGCACGGUGGGAGUUAAGAGCUCAAUGACAUCUGGAGAGCCAGAAUUGGCCCACCUUGUUAGAAAGUCAUACCCAUGUUUGGAAGUGGGUUUUGGAAGGGUUUGUUGUUAAUGUCCUUUUCUACAGUAAGCCGUUGCGUUCUGACCAUAUUGAUCAAACAGACCCAAAUGUUAUGUCCCCUCCGGCAGCAAUAAUAGUGGGUUGGGAAGGGCUAACUUAAUACAGAGAACCUGGGAAGUGGAGAUGUUUUCCUUUGUCUGGGUUCAGCUGGUACAUGGAAGGUGGUUUCCAUAUACAGAGCAUGGUCUGUGUAGAUGUUGGUUCAAGAUUCCUUACAAACUGGUCCUCCAUCCCAUUCUUAUUUCUUCAGUUUCUGUUGCUUUUUUUUAAUGUUGGGGGAAGUGGGAAUUUUGAAUAUGUAAAAGGUCUCAGAUUGGUUGGAACAUGGUAAGGAGUGCUCUUUUUUUUCUAUUGUUCUUGUGGAUGGGAACUCUGUGCUGCUGAGCUCCCUGGUGCCCUCCAUUGUGGGUUGUGCUGCUUGCCUGUACCUCCAUCCCUUCCCUUUUUUAAUGUUUCCCAACACCCUUCAUUUAUUGGGAUUUUUUUUUCCUCCUUUGGAUUAUUUUUGCUGCUAUCUGUCUAGCCUGCCUGCUAAGACCCAAAGACAAGAAAAGGGAAGGCUCUGAGGAAUAGUGGGUAGAUAUUCCUCACGUUCUAGCAAUUUCAGUUGAGGGUGUUUUGAUUAUAUUUCUUUGCCUUUAUUUGCUUGCUUACUUUUCUUGUUGGUUUUUUUUUGAAGAAGGA